ensembl:lncRNA
AACGCGCUCGGGGGGACAAAGAGGGUGCGCGACAGCCAGAAGCAGCUCUGACAGGGCCACCGGCUCAGCCUAGUGUUGGGGACACAGGUCAGUGGAGCCCAGUCACAUGCUUUGCUCCUCCUGCCACCUCGGGUGGGUCUGGGUGGACCUGCCAUCUGCCUGCAGCCGGUCCCCGAGGGGCUGGCCAUCUGAGUCACCUGGACUGACCUGGACUCCCUGUGUCAGCUUGGCAGCAGGUUCCUUUGCUCUUACCUCAUCUGCACCUGCUGGCUUCUGGACAAGGAGUGGGAUCACGUGGCCCAGGAGGAGCUCGGCACAGAUUUGCUGCUCCCAAGGCUUGCCAGUACUUCUUUGGCCGCGUCCACUGCUGCUUUCCUUGAAUGGCCCUGGAGAUGGAUCCCAACGAUGCCCCUGCCUGUGCUCUCCAGGGACCUUCACAUUUCUCAUUUCUCAAGGGUCUGCGAGAGGGAAUGGCCUUGCUGCACCCUCAGCCUCCACCAAACACUCCUGGAUGUCUCUCCAGACCGGCUAUACCUGCUUUCCUCCCACUCCACGCCCGGGUCUUCCUGGCCCCUGCAUCAUUGCCAGUGCAGGGGGUUGUCUGACUUCCUAAUUUUGGCCUGAGAUGGGGUGAUUGUUUGAGUGUGGCUUUUCUGAUUACAAAUGAAGUU